AAGAAGGCACUACUAAAACGUGGGAUUAUUUCUUCAAUUCCCAUCGCUUUUUCCUUUCUGUUUUCAACUCUGAUUUGCUUCUCCCCUCAAGAAAAUUGCAGCAAUCCGAAUGGCGUUUCAGAAAAUAAGGGUGGACAACCCCAUCGUUGAAAUGGACGGAGAUGAAAUGACACGGGUAAUUUGGAAAAUGAUAAAGUACAAGCUUAUUUUCCCUUAUCUGGAAUUGGAUAUUAAGUAUUUUGACCUUGGCCUUCCUCAUCGUGAUGCUACUAAUGAUAGAGUUACCAUUGAAAGUGCUGAAGCUACUCUCAAGUAUAAUGUGGCAGUCAAAUGUGCGACUAUAACUCCAGAUGAAGCUCGAGUCAAGGAAUUUAACUUAAAGCAAAUGUGGAAAAGUCCUAAUGGCACAAUUCGGAACAUUUUAAAUGGUACAGUUUUUAGAGAGCCAAUUAUCUGCAGAAACAUCCCUCGUCUUGUUUCAGGUUGGACAAAGCCCAUCUGCAUUGGAAGGCAUGCAUUUGGGGAUCAGUACCGAGCAACUGAUACAGUAAUAAAAGGGAAGGGAAAGCUAAAGUUGUUGUUCGUACCCAACGGAAAUGGUGAAAAAAAAGAGUUAGAGGUCUAUGAAUUUACUGGUGCUGGAGGCAUAGCUAUGUCCAUGUAUAACACUGAUGAGUCCAUUCGAGCUUUUGCUGAGGCUUCAAUGAAUAUUGCUUACCAGAAAAAGUGGCCACUUUAUCUUAGUACCAAAAAUACAAUCCUCAAGAAAUAUGAUGGCAGAUUCAAGGACAUUUUCCAGGAAGUUUAUGACAGUCAAUGGAGUUCCAAGUUCAAAGCUGCAGGGAUAUGGUAUGAACACCGUCUCAUUGAUGAUAUGGUUGCUUAUGCUCUUAAAAGUGAUGGAGGUUAUGUAUGGGCCUGCAAGAAUUAUGAUGGGGAUGUGCAGAGUGAUUUCUUAGCCCAAGGAUUUGGUUCUUUGGGCUUGAUGACAUCAGUACUGGUAUGCCCAGAUGGAAAAACCAUUGAAGCAGAAGCAGCCCAUGGCACUGUUACCCGUCAUUACAGGGUUCAUCAAAAGGGAGUUGAAACUAGUACAAAUAGUAUAGCAUCCAUUUUUGCUUGGUCACGGGGCCUUGCACACAGGGCAAAGUUGGAUGGAAACGCAAGAUUGUUGGACUUUACUGAGAAACUUGAAGCAGCUUGCAUUGGAACAGUUGAAUUGGGAAACAUGACAAAGGAUCUUGCGCUUCUUGCUCAUGGACCAAAGGUUUCUAGGUCCCAGUAUUUGAAUACUGAAGAGUUCAUUGAUGCCGUGGCUGAGGAGCUGAGAAGCAGGUUAUCUAUGAAAGCAAAACUCUGAAGUUCAGGCUAAAUGUUGGCUGAGAUUCCCAACAAUCUCCAUCUCAGAUCGAACUCACCUGGGAAGUUUCUGGGAACCUUAAGGGCUGUCCUACAACAUUGAAAAGCGUGGCCCUAUUUCCAGCACCUUUGAAGGGUGUUGUCCCGUGUAGAAGCUCAUACAAGAAGAUCCCAAAAGUCCACCAAUCUACUGCACUGCCAUGACCUUCUCCCCGGAUGAUUUCAGGUGCAAGAUAUUCAUGUGUCCCUACAAAGGACAUUGACCUCACAUCUGAAGGCUCUGCCAUGAAUUCAGGGAGGGCGGUACCUCCAUUUAUGAGGCCGAAAUCAGACUUUGAUUUUCGGUUUUUCUUUGAUGGUAAAAUGCGUGGGAAGAAAGUUGAUGGCUGCAUACAACUCUGCACUGCUUGCUGGUCAUCCAAAACAACCCCAGAACUAGAACCACUGUUGCCACUGCUGCUGCUGCUUACAUGGGCAGAUGAAGACUUGAUGAGCAUAGGAUUGACCGAGCAGCGAAGGGAUAGAUCAAAAUCUGAGAGCAUUAUAUGGCCCUCAUCUCUGACCAAGACAUUCUCUGGCUUUAAGUCUCUAUACACUAUGCCUAGCAUAUGCAGGUAUUCAAGAGCUAACAAUAUCUCUGAAGCAUAGAACCUGACAUGAAAUAGAGUUCUUAUAUUGCUUUUACAGUCUAAUACAGAGAGCAGAAUCAAAUUGUUGAACUUUGCUUUUAUGGAGAUUAAUAGGGAUUGCUAACUUCGUUUUAGUUAUGCAAACGUGAAAUCAACUUGUUGUAAUCUCGAUACACAGAAUAGCAACGUAUGAAACUUACGAGUGAUGUAUUCUUAUUC